rnacentral:misc_RNA from 1 species
AACGCACGAGACCUGCGGACCUGCGGAAGGAUCAUCAUUAAAUCCAUAUAUACACCCUUGUGAACUGUGCGCUGAAGUGGUUACGCCUGUCGUGCCAACUUUCGCUGCAAACACUACUUAACUUAAGAAAGCUGAAGCAAAUAUAUUUUAAAUAUAACAACUUUUAGCAACGGAUCUCU